rnacentral:rRNA from 1 species
UACGUAGGGAGCAAGCGUUGUCCGGAAUCAUUGGGCGUAAAGCGCGCGUAGGCGGCCCUGUAAGUCCGCUGUGAAAGUCAAAGGCUCAACCUUUGAAUGUCAGUGGAUACUGUCGGGCUAGAGUACGGAAGAGGCAAGUGGAAUUCCUGGUGUAGCGGUGGAAUGCGCAGAUAUCAGGAGGAACACCUAUAGCGAAGGCAGCUUGCUGGGACGUUACUGACGCUAAGGCGCGAAAGCGUGGGGAGCGAACAGG